UUCAAAUACAACUGUGAGUUUCUAUAUCUAAUGUUUGACUGUCUAUUUUAUUUGAAUUUUUUUAUGAUUAGUAUUUUUAUUAUUAUCAGAUGAUAAAAUAUGAAUAUUACUUUGUACGUGACUUAUUUUUUCAUAAAUUUUAAAUAAAAUGGACGGUCAAACGUUACACACAGAAACCCACAACUGUACUUAAA
rfam:Oryza glumipatula chromosome 6, whole genome shotgun sequence.